UAAAUAAUCCUCUAACAUAAAGACUCAAGACAAGAUAAAUAACUAAACUUAGACUUAUAUUCGUUUAAAUUGUAAUCUACUAAUAAUACAAAAUAUUCCAAGUAAAGUAAUUAAAUAACCUACUCAUACUCGUCUAAAUAAUCAUCCGAGAAGUGUAAAUGAAUGCCACUGAAACUUUGAUAAUACUUGUGACUAUGUCAACCCUGCCAAAAAAUAUAUAUAUAGGCACAUCAACACUAAAAACAAUGCAUAAUAGUUUUCUAAA